rnacentral:rRNA from 62 species
GUUGACCUCGGAUCAGGUAGGGAUACCCGCUGAACUU